UCUUAUGGAUGAGUAAAGAAAGUGGUUUCUUGAGAUGCGAUCUACUCCUGGUGAAGAUUAUGUGAA
rnacentral:pre_miRNA from 1 species